CGAAGGGGGCUAGCGUGCUCGGAAUCACUGGGCGUAAGGGUGCGUAGGCGGGUCUUUAAGUCAGGGGUGAAAUCCUGGAGCUCAACUCCAGAACUGCCUUUGAUACUGAGGAUCUUGAGUUCGGGAGAGGUGAGUGGAACUGCGAGUGUAGAGGUGAAAUUCGUAGAUAUUCGCAAGAACACCAGUGGCGAAGGCGGCUCACUGGCCCGAUACUGACGCUGAGGCACGAAAGCGUGGGAAGCAAACAGGAUUAGAUACCCUGGUAGUCCACGCCGUAAACGAUGAAUGCCAGCCGUUAGUGGGUUUACUCACUAGUGGCGCAGCUAACGCUUUAAGCAUUCCGCCUGGGGAGUACGGUCGCAAGAUUA
rnacentral:rRNA from 1 species